rnacentral:rRNA from 1 species
ACUCAAAUGAAUUGACGGGGGCCCGCACAAGCGGUGGAGCAUGUGGUUUAAUUCGACGCAACGCGAAGAACCUUACCGGGGCUUGACAUCGGAGGACAACUCUAGAAAUAGAGCUUAGGGGCAACCCUACUUCCAGACAGGUGCUGCAUGGCUGUCGUCAGCUCGUGCCGUGAGGUGUUGGGUUAAGUCCCGCAACGAGCGCAACCCUCGUCGUGUGUUGGUCCACAAGAUCUCUCACACGAGACCGCCGGUGAGAAGCCGGAGGAAGGUGGGGAUGACGUCAAGUCAGCAUGGCCCUUACGUCCCGGGCUACACACGUGCUACAAUGCGCCGAACAACGAGCUGCGAACCCGCGAGGGUAAGCCAAUCUCUUAAAUCGGCGCUCAGUUCGGAUUGAAGGCUGCAACUCGCCUUCAUGAAGUCGGAAUCGCUAGUAAACGCAGAUCAGCUACGCUGCGUUGAAUACGUUCCCGGGCCUUGUACACACCGCCCGU